rnacentral:tRNA from 1 species
ACCCCGGUAGCUCAGUGGACAGAGCGUUGGCCUCCGGAGCCAAAAGUCGCGCGUUCGAAUCGCGCCCGGGGUACCA